CCAAUAGCGUAUAUUAAAGUUGUUGCAGUUAAAAAGCUCGUAGUUGAAUUUCGAUACCGGUCUACUGGUCGUGCUUUUGUACGUACUGGUAUAAUCGGUUUCUCUCUUCUGACGAACUAUAAUGCCAUUAAUUUGGUGUUUUAGGGAAUCAGGACUGUUACUUUGAAAAAAUUAGAGUGUUUAAAGCAGGCUCACGCUUGAAUACAUUAGCAUGGAAUAACGAAAUAGGACGUUUGAUUCUAUUUUGUUGGUUUCUAGGAUCGACGUAAUGAUUAAUAGGGAUAGUUGGGGUCAUUAGUAUUCAAUUGUCAGAGGUGAAAUUCUUGGAUUUAUUGAAGACUAACUACUGCGAAAGCAUUUGCCAAGGAUGUUUUCAUUAAUCAAGAACGAAAGUUAGGGGAUCGAAGACGAUCAGAUACCGUCGUAGUCUUAACCAUAAACUAUGCCGACUAGGGAUCGGAUGAUGUUAAAUUAAUGACUCAUUCGGCACCUUACG
rnacentral:rRNA from 1 species